AGCGCGGAGCACGAGGAAUUCUGCGUGAAUCUGCCGGGACCAUCCGGUAAGGCUAAAUACUCCCGAGAGACCGAUAGUGAACCAGUACCGUGAGGGAAAGGUGAAAAGCACUUCGAACAGAAGAGUGAAAUAGUCCCUGAACCCAUACGCCUACAAGCAGUCGGAGCCGCUUCGUGCGGUGACGGCGUGCCUUUUGCAUAAUGAGCCUACGAGUUACUCAUCACCAGCGAGGUUAAGUACUUCAGGUACGUAAGCCGAAGCGAAAGCGAGUCUGAAUAGGGCGUCAAGUUGGUGGUGGUAGACGCGAAACCUUAGUGAUCUACCCAUGGGCAGGGUGAAGGUUUGGUAACACAAACUGGAGGCCCGAACCGGUAAACGUUGAAAAGUUUUCGGAUGACCUGUGGGUAGGGGUGAAAGGCCAAUCAAACUGGGAAAUAGCUCGUACUCUCCGAAAUGCAUUUAGGUGCAGCCUCUGUUGUUUUGUUCUAGAGGUAGAGCUACUGAUUGGAUGCGAGGGCUUCACCGCCUAUCAAAUCCGGCCAAACUCCGAAUGCUAGAACAUGAAGACAGGGAGUGAGCCAGCGGGUGCUAAGGUCCGUUGACGAAAGAGGGAGAACUCAGACCAUCAGCUAAGGUCCCCAAUUAUAUGCUAAGUUGGAAUAAAAACGGGGUGGGACUGCUUAGACAGCUAGGAUGUUGGCUUGGAAGCAGCCAUUCAUUUAAAGAGUGCGUAACAGCUCACUAGUCGAGCGGUCCUGCAUGGAUAAUACGCGGGCAUAAGCAUAUAACCGAAGCUAUGGGAUUGUAGAUGAUACAAUCGGUAGGAGAGCAUUCCAUUCAGCAUAGAAGCAGUACCGUGAGGUAUUGUGGAGCGGAUGGAAAAGCAAAUGUAGGCAUAAGUAACGAUAAUGCGGGUGAGAACCCCGCACGCCGAAAGAUCAAGGAUUCCCCGGCAAUGUCAAUCAUCCGGGGGUAAGUCGGAUCCUAAGGGUAAGCCGAGUGGCGAUCCCGAUGGUAAACAGGUUAAUAUUCCUGUACUGAUCAUAACUGCGAUGCAGCGACGCAGAGGUGACACUGCUGCGUACUGACGGAAUAGUACGUUGAAACCCGUAUUCUUUGAUACCGGUAGUGAAGCACGCCGGUAGAGAUGAAAGGUGAUAGUACCGCAAUGCUUCGGUUGCGCGGAUAAUGCAGGUAAGCUGACUGCCAAGAAAACCUGCUAAGCUUCAGGUAAUGAUCAUCCGUACUGUAAACGGACACACGUGAUCAGGUAGAAAAUACUAAGGCGCUCGAGAGAUUCAUGGUUAAGGAACUAGGCAAAAUGGUCCUGUAACUUCGGGAUAAAGGACGCUCUUGUGAAAGAGCCGCAGAUAAUAGGCCCAGGCGACUGUUUACCAAAAACACAUGGCUAUGCUAAUUCGCAAGAAGAUGUAUAUGGCCUGACACCUGCCCGGUGCCGGAAGGUUAAGAGGAGAGCUCAGAGGUAACUCGAAGGUUUGAAUUGAAGCCCCGGUAAACGGCGGCCGUAACUAUAACGGUCCUAAGGUAGCGAAAUUCCUUGUCGGGU
rnacentral:rRNA from 1 species